CAUUAUACACUUUUCUUGGGAUUUCAUAGCGUAAACAAGGCUCUAGAAAUCCAAGAAACUCAAAACUAAACCAUUUAGGGUAAUUAAAUUAAACCCUAACAAAGAAAUGCAAGAAACCUACCUUAGGUUUUUGCUCCACAAAAUCCCCUUUGCUCUUGGGCUUCUUCUCCACCAAAACCACUUGAUUCCACCUUCAAUUUCUCUUAAUCUCCACCUUGAGAGAGGGUUCCUAGAGAGAGAAGAAGAAGGAGAUGAGAAGGAAAUGAUAACAAAGCCCUCUCAUGCAUGGGAACACCCAACACGUCGAAUUAUGCUUCAAUUAGGGUUACAAGAGAUCAAACCCAUGUUAGAUCUCCCAUUUUACAAAUUCCCAUUUUAACCCUAGGGUUCAUACAUGAUACCCAUUGUACACUUUUCUUGGGAUUUCAUAGCAUAAACAAGGCUCUAGAAAUCCAAGAAACUAAAAACUAAACCAUUUAGGGUAAUUAAAUUAAACCCUAACAAAGAAAUGCAAGAAACCUACCUUAAGUUUUUGCUCCACAAAUCCCCUUUGCUCUUGGGCUUCUUCUCCGCCAAAACCACUUGAUUCCACCUUCAAUUUCUCUUAAUCUCCACUUUGAGGGAGGGUUCCUAGAGAGAGAAGGAGAAGGAGAAAGAGAUGAGAAGGAGAUGAUAACAAAGCCAUCUCAUUCAUGGGAACACCCAACGCGUCGAAUUAUGCUUCAAUUAGGGCUAUAAGAGAUCAAAACUAUGUUAGAUCUCCCAUUUUACAAAUCCCUAUUUUUAACCCUAGGGUCGUACAUGACACCCAUUAUACACUUUUCUUGGAAUUUCAUAGCAUAAACAAGGCUCUAGAGAUCCAAGAAACUCAAAACUGUAAUUAAAUUAAACCCUAACAAAGAAAUGCAAGAAACCUACCUUAAGUUUUUGCUCCACGAAAUCCCCCUUUCUCUUGGGCUUCUUCUCCACCAAAACCACUUGAUUCCACCUUCAAUUUCUCUUAAUCUCCACCUUGAGGGAGGGUUCCUAGAGAGAGAAGGAGAAGG
rnacentral:lncRNA from 1 species